rnacentral:rRNA from 1 species
ACUAGGAGGUGGGAGAGGUGGACGGUACUCCUCGGGAAGGGGUAAAAUCCUCUGAACUGUGGAAGACCACCUGUGGCGAAGGCGGUCCACCAGAACACGCUCGACGGUGAGGGAUGAAAGCUGGGGGAACAAACCGGAUUAGAUACCCGGGUAGUCCUAGCUGUAAACUAUGCAGGCUAUGUGAUGCAUUGUCCACCUAUUACUGCCGGGCCCCAAGCAACGUGAUAAGCUUGCCGCUGGGGAGUACGGGCGCAAGGGUGAAACUUAA